rnacentral:rRNA from 1 species
GACGAACGCUGGCGGCGUGCUUAACACAUGCAAGUCGAACGGAAAGGCCCUGCUUUUGUGGGGUGCUCGAUUGGCGAACGGGUGAGUAACACGUGAGUAACCUGCCCUUGACUUUGUGAUAACUUCACGAAACUGGGGCUAAUACCCGAUAGGAGCUCCUGCUGCAUGGUGGGGGUUGGAAAGUUUCGGCGGUUGGGGAUGGACUCGCGGGUUAUCAGCUUGUUGGUGGGGUAGUUGCUUACCAAGGCUUUGACGGGUAGCCGGCCUGAGAGGGUGACCGGCCACAUUGGGACUACGAUACGGCCCAGACUCCUACGGGACGCAGCAGUGGGGAGUAUUGCACAAUGGGCGGAAGCCUGAUGCAGCAACGCCGCGUGCGGGAUGACGGCCUUCGGGUUGUAAACCGCUUUCGCCUGUGACGAAGCGUGAGUGACGGUAAUGGGUAAAGAAGCACCGGCUAACUACGUG